rnacentral:rRNA from 1 species
AUUGAACGCUGGCGGCAUGCCUUACACAUGCAAGUCGAACGGCAGCAUGAUCUAGCUUGCUAGAUUGAUGGCGAGUGGCGAACGGGUGAGUAAUACAUCGGAACGUGCCCUGUAGUGGGGGAUAACUAGUCGAAAGAUUAGCUAAUACCGCAUACGACCUGAGGGUGAAAGUGGGGGACCGCAAGGCCUCAUGCUAUAGGAGCGGCCGAUGUCUGAUUAGCUAGUUGGUGGGGUAAAGGCCCACCAAGGCGACGAUCAGUAGCUGGUCUGAGAGGACGAUCAGCCACACUGGGACUGAGACACGGCCCAGACUCCUACGGGAGGCAGCAGUGGGGAAUUUUGGACAAUGGGGGCAACCCUGAUCCAGCAAUGCCGCGUGUGUGAAGAAGGCCUUCGGGUUGUAAAGCACUUUUGUCCGGAAAGAAAUCGCACUUACUAAUAUUAGGUGUGGAUGACGGUACCGGAAGAAUAAGGACCGGCUAACUACGUGCCAGCAGCCGCGGUAAUACGUAGGGUCCGAGCGUUAAUCGGAAUUACUGGGCGUAAAGCGUGCGCAGGCGGUUGUGCAAGACCGAUGUGAAAUCCCCCGGGCUUAACCUGGGAAUUGCAUUGGUGACUGCACGGCUAGAGUGUGUCAUAGGGGGGUAGAAUUCCACGUGUAGCAGUGAAAUGCGUAGAGAUGUGGAGGAAUACCGAUGGCGAAGGCAGCCCCCUGGGAUAACACUGACGCUCAUGCACGAAAGCGUGGGGAGCAAACAGGAUUAGAUACCCUGGUAGUCCACGCCCUAAACGAUGUCAACUAGUUGUUGGGGAUUCAUUUCCUUAGUAACGUAGCUAACGCGUGAAGUUGACCGCCUGGGGAGUACGGUCGCAAGAUUAAAACUCAAAGGAAUUGACGGGGACCCGCACAAGCGGUGGAUGAUGUGGAUUAAUUCGAUGCAACGCGAAAAACCUUACCUACCCUUGACAUGCCACUAACGAAGCAGAGAUGCAUUAGGUGCUCGAAAGAGAAAGUGGACACAGGUGCUGCAUGGCUGUCGUCAGCUCGUGUCGUGAGAUGUUGGGUUAAGUCCCGCAACGAGCGCAACCCUUGCCUCUAGUUGCUACGAAAGGGCACUCUAGAGAGACUGCCGGUGACAAACCGGAGGAAGGUGGGGAUGACGUCAAGUCCUCAUGGCCCUUAUGGGUAGGGCUUCACACGUCGUACAAUGGUGCAUACAGAGGGUUGCCAAGCCGCGAGGUGGAGCUAAUCCCAGAAAAUGCAUCGUAGUCCGGAUCGUAGUCUGCAACUCGACUACGUGAAGCUGGAAUCGCUAGUAAUCGCGGAUCAGCAUGCCGCGGUGAAAAAGUUCCCGGGUCU